rnacentral:lncRNA from 1 species
GAAGUUACCAAGAAGCUUAAAUCUUCAAUAUCAAUCAAAAACCGUGAUAAUCAACCUCCAAAGUUAUUCAUUAAGUUAUAUCAAAAUAGUAAUAAUAAAUAAAUAUGUAAGCAGUUACAUUACAUUCAUGAUUUUUUACAAGUUAAAUUAUCACAAUCAUUGCCCAGACCACUUAUAAAUCACAUCUUCAAGUACAGAUCCAUCUGAAAGUACAACAAAUAUUAGCAAAAAUAAUAUCGAACAGCAAAUGAAUUAACAAAAUGGUAAAGAAAACUCAGUUAAAAGUGAUAAAUAUCACUUCAUCUUUCGAAGAAUUCCCAGAUCUAGCAUGAAAAACAAUUUUAGAUGAAAACUAUGCUUAUGGCCAAGUAAAUUAAUAGAUAAUGCAUAACUUUAGAAAUAUUACAUUAAAAAUACCUCACCAACAAAGAUCUCACAGAUCUGGUGUAGAUCAAAAUUAUACGAACAACAUACUAUGCAGCAAACAGUAAAUUAUUCGAUAGAAAUUAAAUUAAAAUACUGGAUAUUAUUUGAAACUACUUUCUUAAAUUAAAAAAAAUGGAUAUAAGAAAUAAAGGUGUAGAGCUCCCUUCAAUCCAAAGAAAGAUGACACCAGAAAGUGAUAAAGCUCCCUGGAUAUGGAAGCCACAAAACUACCACAUAACACACAAAAAUGGGUAGAAUUGAGGGAUCCAUAGCUAAGCAGCUCUAUCAACAUAGCAACAUCCAUAUUUGAACUAAAAGAAGCUCCACCCCUCAAAAAACCCUAACACCAAAAACUUCAACUUCAUUCAAAUAUAAAAGAAAAAAACUAUGAAAAAUAAGUGAAUCUAGUCAAAAUAAGCAAAAGUAGAAAAAGAUAAUGAGCUGCAAAAAAAUCUAGAGACUAGAUCUUGUUUUUCAGAUCUAUAAGGGAGUACCUUCUUCAAAUAGAUAAAAAGAAAAAAGAAAAGACCAGAGAGAAACUAACUCAACACCGAAAGAUGAGAACCCUAUCUUGGAAAGGCAUCCUUUAGUUCUCUUAAAUAAAGCAACUUGGACUGAAACGCAUCCCACUUUGCCACUUCAAUUACACUUUUUAUUUUUAAAUGAACUAAUAAAAAACCAAACCCUAUCUUGGAAAGGCAUCCUUUAGUUCUCUUAAAUAAAGCAACUUGGACUGAAACGCAUCCCACUUUGCCACUUCAAUUACACUUUUUAUUUUUAAAUGAACUAAUAAAAAACCCGUCUUUUUCUAUGGAAUAUAGUUUUGGAUUCUUAGUUAUUUGAAUACUAUUAUAAAAAUUGAAAAUCGACUAAAAAGAUCUUAUAAAUAAUAGUAAAUUUAAUUUGGAAGGACAAUUAAGAUAAAAAAACAAUAUUAAAAACAAUAUAAUUAAAAAUAAAAUUUAUUUUAGAUAAAUAAAUUAUUUAGUUUUUUUAAUAAAUUUUUAAAAUUUAAUUCAUUCCCUUUUAGUUUUCGCACUAUAUACUUGCGGUUUCAUUGGAGUGGAAGGUUACAAAAGAGAUACAACACAUCUAAUUUUAUUGAUCUUGAAAAUUUAAGGAUUUUUGGAUGUAUAUGUUAUGUGGAUAUAUCUAGUGAAGAUUUAUACAAAAUAAGUC